rnacentral:lncRNA from 1 species
AUGUAAGUUCCUUGCAGGCAGGAGCUGAAAGCUCAGCGAAGUCUGGCUGAUUGAUUUGAAGAAAACAGCUUCAUUUGCCUCUUUAGCCAAAGGUGGUGGUAGGGAUGGAACAACUACUUCAUGUUCAAUUGAGGAUGGCUUUGGCAGCAGGAGUCUGGGGUGACUCCCAGUCCUGCUCUCCCGGAUUCAGGAACCUUCGCCAGAUGGCGUGAGUCCUCCCAGUGGAGGAUCCCAAUGGUGUGAGUCCUCCCAGUGGCUCACAGAGGAUCCUGCAGACGCACCUCUGAGAACAAAGCUGUCUCCCCAGCACGCUGAUCACUGUGCCAGGACAGAGAGGAACGCUGCUUCCGGGAAGACGCAAUGGCUAAUGGUUCGGCUUUUCCUUCUCUGCCCUUUUGCUCUGCACACAUACACAGGUGACACGGACAGCACUUAGAAAAGGUGCUCAGGGGGACGUGUGCAUUUCAAGCCUCUCCUGCUGACUGCAUCCAUCACAGUGUUUCUCUACGAGCUUUGAGCCAAGGUGGAGAUUCUAAUGGAGAAUGAUGACUUGGAAACUGGACUUACUUGCAGACAGCCAUGACCUCACCCUCUUCAGCUCUUCUGGAAUUUCGGAAUGAGAUGCUCUUAGCAGCGGGCAUGCAGGGCAGACUGUGGCCAGUGCUCCGCUCUUGGUGCAGCCCUGGGCUCCAGAGACAAGGGUGGAGAGAUCUCAAAUUCAGAGCAAGAAAGAAGAACAGCGGGACCCCUGUCCAGGCAGCAUCUCAAAGAAAUGAAGGUGCUGGGAGGCCUGUUCAAGAGCUCACGUGAAAGGGCAAGAAGCCCACUAAAGGUAAUUUGACUUUAGCACAAAGAAAAGAACAUUCUGUGGAACCAAGACCAUGAUCUUUUAAUUUUAAAUUCUUGCAGAUGAGUGGAAGAGGAUGGUGACGAUUGAGAUUUGAACCAGGAGGGUGAGAGCAGAAAGAUGGAGCAAGUUUGCAUAGGGAAGAAAAUCAUUAAGAAAGGACUUAACAGAUUUGUACAUAGGCCCCCAAGACCCUAACGUAUGAACAGCAAAGUUCCAGGAAGAGCAAAGAAGUGAUGCUGGAGAGCUUAUUUGUAAACAGAUAAUAAAAAGAAAUUCAUCUGCA